rnacentral:rRNA from 1 species
GAUGAACGCUGACAGAAUGCUUAACACAUGCAAGUCAACUUGAACUUCGGUUUGGGUGGCGGGCGGGUGAGUAACGCGUAAAGAACUUGCCUCACAGUUAGGGACAACAUUUGGAAACGAAUGCUAAUACCUGAUAUUAUGAUUUUAGGGCAUCCUAGAAUUAUGAAAGCUAUAUGCGCUGUGAGAGAGCUUUGCGUCCCAUUAGCUAGUUGGAGAGGUAACGGCUCACCAAGGCGAUGAUGGGUAGCCGGCCUGAGAGGGUGAACGGCCACAAGGGGACUGAGACACGGCCCUUACUCCUACGGGAGGCAGCAGUGGGGAAUAUUGGACAAUGGACCAAGAGUCUGAUCCAGCAAUUCUGUGUGCACGAUGAAGUUUUUCGGAAUGUAAAGUGCUUUCAGUUGGGAAGAAAAAAAUGACGAUACCAACAGAAGAAGUGACGGCUAAAUACGUG